rnacentral:rRNA from 1 species
CCCUUAGAUGUUCUGGGCCGCACGCGCGCUACACUGAUGCAUUCAACGAGUCUAAAACCUGCUCUGAUAGGGGUGGGUAAUCUUUUGAAUGUGCAUCGUGAUUGGGAUAGAUGAUUGCAAUUUUUCAUCUUCAACGAGGAAUGCCUAGUAAACGCAAGUCAUCAGCUUGCAUUGAUUACGUCCCUGCCCUUUGUACACACCGCCCGUCGCUCCUACCGAUUGAAUGAUCCGAUGAAUAUCAUGGAUUGAGGAUUAUAGCAGGUUCGCCUGUCUUGAUCUUCGAGAAGUGAAGUAAAUCUUAUCAUUUAGAGAAAGGAGAAGUCGUAACA